rnacentral:rRNA from 1 species
GAUGAACGCUGGCGGCGUGCCUAACACAUGCAAGUCGAGCGAACGGACGAGAAGCUUGCUUUUCUGAUGUUAGCGGCGGAGGGGAGAGUAACACGUGGAUAACCUACCUAUAAGACGGGGAAAACUUCGGGAAACCGGAGCUAAUACCGGAGAAGAUUUUGAACCGCAUGGUUCAAAAGUGAAAGACGGUCGUGCUGUCACUUAUAGAUGGAUCCGCGCUGCAUUAGCUAGUUGGUAAGGUAACGGCUUACCAAGGCAACGAUGCAUAAGCGACCUGAGAGGGUGAUCGGCCACACUGGAACUUGGACACGGUCCAGACUCCUACGGGAGGCAGCAGUAGGGAAUCUUCCGCAAUGGUCGAAAGCCUUACGGAGCAACGCCGCGUGAGUGAUGAAGGUCUUCGGAUCGUAAAACUCUGUUAUUAGGGAAGAACAUAUGUGUAAGUAACUGUGCACAUCUUGACGGUACCUAAUCAGAAAGCCACGGCUAACUACGUG